CACUGCGUAGCUCAAUUGGCUAGAGCACUCCGUUUGGGACGGAGAGGUUGAAGGUUCGAGUCCUUCUGUGGUGACCA
rnacentral:tRNA from 1 species